GCCUACGGCCAUCCCACCCUGGUAACGCCCGAUCUCGUCUGAUCUCGGAAGCUAAGCAGGGUCGGGCCUGGUUAGUACUUGGAUACUUGGAUGGGAGACCUCCUGGGAAUACCGGGUGCUGUAGGCU
rnacentral:rRNA from 1 species